rnacentral:rRNA from 1 species
UACGUAGGGGGCUAGCGUUGUCCGGAAUCAUUGGGCGUAAAGCGCGUGUAGGCGGCCCGGUAAGUCCGCUGUGAAAGUCGGGGGCUCAACCCUCGGAAGCCGGUGGAUACUGUCGGGCUAGAGUACGGAAGAGGCGAGUGGAAUUCCUGGUGUAGCGGUGAAAUGCGCAGAUAUCAGGAGGAACACCAAUUGCGAAGGCAGCUCGCUACACAUAUAUUGACUCUGAGGCGCGAAAGCUAGGGGAGCAAACGGG